UACGUAGGGUGCAGGCGUUAAUCGGAAUUACUGGGCGUAAAGCGUGCGCAGGCGGCGCGUUAAGACAGGUGUGAAAGCCCCGAGCUUAACUUGGGAAUUGCGCUUGUGACUGGCGGGCUGGAGUGUGGCAGAGGGAGGUGGAAUUCCACGUGUAGCAGUGAAAUGCGUAGAGAUGUGGAGGAACACCGAUGGCGAAGGCAGCCUCCUGGGCCAGCACUGACGCUCAUGCACGAAAGCGUGGGGAGCAAACAGG
rnacentral:rRNA from 1 species